AAGUCUAAAUAUCAGACGACAAAGUCGAGAGCAGCAUAAAUUUUCUGAGCGAACUAUUUAUAAGACUACUAAAUUUUUUAAGCAGCAGACAUUUCAAAUUUGUGAAGCUGUAUAUAAAGUUUUAAAGGAGCCAAAAAUCUUUAAGAAUUACAACAUAUGAGAAUGUCAUCAGAUAUUUGCCUGCCCAAUCAACAGCAGCUGUCCAGAAAUAUGUAAUGGAUUUAUCAGGAGAAGGAAGGGAACUGAACAAGGUUCACCACAGUAACCUUUGCUAAAUGGAGGCAAAUGGAUUCGGCAGAGUGAGUGCGGUCGUCGAACUGUUGGGGUCGUGGAUCUAGGGUGUGUUCCAGAUAAUUAUGAACCCUACUACAGCAAGGACGAGCUGAAAGAGGCAGAGAAGAUCGACAGAGACUGCCUUCUCAACUGGGACGUCCUUCGUCAUGAAGUUUGACUCGAUGGGCGAUGGCGACACCCGUUUAUCUCCCCGGAUGGCGCUCUCCAAAGAUGGCGGCAGGUUGUUGAUGAAGGCGUCCGAGUAAUCCCCGACGCUUCGUUUAUCAUCUUUAUCGUUUGCAUCAACUUGUGUCGUCUAUCAGGCCGGUGAAGGCGCUGGUCGGAACGCCAGAGGGAUGAGAUGAUGAGUGCGGGGAAGGGUCUCAUCUGUGUCCUCCAUCCUCUACACCCAUUCCAUGUCAUGCGUAUUCUUUAUUAACCGCCGUCCCAGACCUCGAGAUGGCGCAGCGCCCUCACCCUCACCUCCACCACCACCACCGCCACCAACCUCCCAACUUGCUGGUUAUCUCAAUCGCCCAGACGUCGUCGGCAAGUGCCGUCCCCAUGUGACACCGUGACACCAUGUGACACCCGUGACAUCAUUAAAAUGCCGGGCUGCUGGCCAGGGAGGCUGCAGCUGCCAGUAGGUGUAUGUGCAGUCAGGCCGCCCUGGCGCUGUAUUUACACGCUGGCGUGCUGUCCAGGCCCACGUUUACAACCUUCACCGCUUGUUCUCGGAUCGCGAGGGGUUGAUGCUUAAAGAGUGAAGGAACGGCAGCUUUCGUCGCCAAGUCAUGUGGGGCCGAGGGCGGACUAUGUGUUGACCAUUUGAUUCCUGAAGGUGUGGACAGCCACGUCACCCCUGAGGACCGCACAGGAAAUGUUACUAAACUACAAGUGAUGCGAGCGAUAAGGGACAAAGGAUUUCUGCUACAGUAUCACCCACCCACACACACACACCCAGGCCUACGUACGAACUCUCCGACGCAUCAAUCACGAGUAGGAAGCAACACUGCUCUGUAUGUAUUAUGUGUUUGUGUCUGAGAGUUUUAGAAUACAUCUAGUUUCUUGGUGUUAUUAAAAAAUGGACAGCUCACCU